GCAGAGCCCUGCACCUCCGCCUUGCGUGGGUCAGAGCCAGCCAGUUAGGUGCCCCUUUGGCCCAUGUGGACGAAGUUCCCGCUGCAUUUCUGUCAUUAGAGCUCCAAGACGGUCUAAUAUAUCCACGAAAAUCUGCUCUUAACAAAGGUCUAAGAAAUCCGUUCACCUGGAGAACUCAUCACCGAUAAAAGCUUAACAGCAGGGACCAUCUUUCAACGAGGCUUCAUCAAAACUCAAAGCAAGUGGCUGGGUCUGAAUGGUAGGAUUUAGGUCUUAACUCCUGAAGGGUUAGCGUUCUUACUUUAAAGGUGGACACCUUCUUGGAGCGUAAGAUCGACCGCUGGCGGGGCCUGGGCCGGCGGGGCCGAGAGUCGAGGUGGGUGUGGCUGGGCCGUCCGCCUCUGCAGGUGAAUUGAAUGCCCACUAGAGCUCUAAUCGUGACCAGAGUGUUCUCCCUGCAGGGGCUGUGAAUGUAUCCUCGCAGUUUCUGGAGUGAGGACUCCAGGCUUAAAAUCCUAGCUUCACACUUGGCGACCCUGGGCAGCUGCGGGCUUCUGGGGGCCUCAACUUCCUCAGUGUAAGGCAGACGCAGCUGGGCCUCUGCUUCGAGCGGAAGGCAUCCCCUUACCAGGUUGAUGCGGCUGGCCUCUACGUGCCGGAGGAGGACGUCGGCCACCCGUUCAGUGUCCCACCACACGCCGGGGUCAUCUGGGAAAUCCCUGGAAGGAAGAAGCACAACCUGGAAACCAUUUCUAACCCGGAUGCAUGAGCCAACAUGAAGAGGCCAAAGAGGAGACAACUGGAGUAUCAAAGAACACAGUGACUUAAACUGAAAAUCCGAACACGUGAACACAGAAGUUCCUAAUGAAAUAAAGCAGUGGCCUCCCCAUCCAAGAAACAAACAAACAAACAAUGGGUUACCAUCGGAGGUAUGUAAGGGAUCAACUCCUAUUCUGAAAACGGCGAUCAAAGGGAAAGAAUUAAGCAUUUAGCCUGUCUUUUGGGAUCAAAGUACCUAUCAGGAUAACUAAAUAGCCCCAGUUGAUAAAGUUCUGCUUUAUAGAAGAAUAUAUAGCUAAUACAUUUGGAACGCAGGAGACAUUUAGAAAGUCACCGUUUUGCAACUUCUAGUUAAUUAAGGACUCGUGAAAGCACCGCGUGAAAGGCUGAUGUGAACUUUACAGUGAACGGGGCGGCCAUUGCCACGUGAUCUCACUAAGAGUGAGGUACACAGUACGUGUGACAGACAGUCACAUGCGUGACUAAAAGUGAGACAGAUAGUACAUGUCCUGAAAUGACGGAACAGGGAGUACACAGUGCAGCUUCCUGCCCCUGAAAGUUAGCGUUCAUUUCCAGUUUGCAAGAAAUAUGGAGGAUAGAGGAACUACUUACGUAAAACCACGAGGGAGCAGACAGACAAACCCUUCUGUACGACAACUGACUCAGGUUUUCAACAAUCAGUGCAAGGUCGGGGCGGGGAGGGACACGCAGAAUAUCAACCAGGUAUAAUGUGUGCACUCUGUCUACAUCCUGAUUUGAACAAACCAACUGUGAAAAGACAUUCAUUUUUGAGCUACUUGGAGUAGCUCAAAAUGGACUGGGUAUUGGAGACAUCAAGGAAUUGCUGUUACUAUUAAUUUUGUUAGAUGGAUAAUAAUGACAUUGUGGCUGCAUGAAAAAAAGUCUAUCUUCUUAAGAGAUGUAUCCCGAAGUACGUAGGGAUAGAAUAACCUGAUGGUUGGGUUUUCUUUUUAAAAUACUUCACACACAGGAGGGAUAAAUUGGGAGACUGGGAUUGACACAUACACACUACUAUAUAUAAAACAGAUAACUAAUA